rnacentral:rRNA from 1 species
UACGUAGGGUGCGAGCGUUGUUCGGAAUUACUGGGCGUAAAGCGUGCGCAGGCGGCGCCGCAAGUCGGGUGUGAAAGCCCCGGGCUUAACUUGGGAAUUGCGCUCGAAACUAUGGUGCUGGAGUGUGGCAGAGGAAGGUGGAAUUCCACGUGUAGCGGUGAAAUGCGUAGAGAUGUGGAGGAACACCGAUGGCGAAGGCAGCCUUCUGGGCCAACACUGACGCUCAUGCACGAAAGCGUGGGGAGCAAACAGG